CGGUUACAUUCCGAACCCGGAAGCUAAGCCUUUCAGCGCCGAUGGUACUGCAGGGGGGACUCUGUGGGAGAGUAGGACGCCGCCGAAC
rnacentral:rRNA from 1 species